rnacentral:lncRNA from 1 species
UAUAUUUAAAACAUACUUCAUGAUAAUGCUUUUAGAUUUAAUCAGCUUAACAUAAUCAACAUAUUUCAAUUUCAGCUUUGUAAUACAAUUCAAAAACACAACGCAUUAUGAGCAUAUACUUAAAGAUUUCUUCCCCUUUUUGACAACAUCAAAAAGAUAGUGAAACAUUAAGCACAAAGAUCAGAAUGCUCAUAUAUUUCUUUUCCUUAUUGUACUCUGAUUUGCAAGUCAAAUUAUUGCAAGGAUAUGAAUCAUAUAACUCAAGGCAAUAAUAUUAGAAUCAGAUUAACUCAAGGCAAUUUCAGAGCAGAACACAUCGAAUGUGAUACCACAGAUAGUUUUCUAAGCAAGUGUAGGUGGAAUCUUUCUUAAGUUAAUUCAAGAAGUACCACACGAAUGGAAAUCUAACCUCUCUUCAAUAAUGAGUAUCAAAGCUUGUUCAUUUAGGACCUUUUGCCCAAUCUAUUAAGUAUUUUAUCAACCAUGAGAGCAAUUUAAUUAA